AAUAAACCCUCCUCACUGGCACUUAGCAGCCAUCUUACCGGACAGUGCUGGACUGUAUAACUGUUUUCUAACACUGUCUGGUAACGAUGUUUGUUGGGUGACCUCAUCACUUCAAGAGGAA
rnacentral:precursor_RNA from 8 species